UACGGAAGGCAGCAGUGGGGAAUAUUGCACAAUGGGCGCAAGCCUGAUGCAGCCAUGCCGCGUGUAUGAAGAAGGCCUUCGGGUUGUAAAGUACUUUCAGUCGUGAGGAAGGUGUUAAGGUUAAUAACCUUAGCAAUUGACGUUAGCGACAGAAGAAGCACCGGCUAACUCCGUGCCAGCAGCCGCGGUAAUACGGAGGGUGCGAGCGUUAAUCGGAAUUACUGGGCGUAAAGGGCACGCAGGCGGUUAAUUAAGUUGGAUGUGAAAUCCCCGGGCUUAACCUGGGAAUGGCAUUCAAGACUGGUUAGCUAGAGUCUUGUAGAGGGGGUAGAAUUCCGAUGUGUAGCGGUGAAAUGCGUAGAGAUGUGGAGGAAUACCGGUGGCGAAGGCGGCCCCUGGGACAAAGCUGACGCUCAUGCGCGAAAGCGUGGGGAGCGAAACAGGGAUUUAGAUACC
rnacentral:rRNA from 1 species